UACGGGGGGGGCAAGCGUUGUUCGGAAUUACUGGGCGUAAAGGGCUCGUAGGCGGCCAACUAAGUCAGACGUGAAAUCCCUCGGCUUAACCGGGGAACUGCGUCUGAUACUGGAUGGCUUGAGUUUGGGAGAGGGACGCGGAAUUCCAGGUGUAGCGGUGAAAUGCGUAGAUAUCUGGAGGAACACCGGUGGCGAAGGCGGCAUCCUGGACCAUUACUGACACUGAAUAGCGAAAGCCAGGGGAGCAAACGGG
rnacentral:rRNA from 1 species